CUACAAGGAGAGGUCUAGCUUCUAAGAAUGUGCUGUCCAGAGACGAUUUGAGAAGUUUCUAUGUGAUCCAGGAUAAGCUCUAUCAGCACUGCAGUUUCACCAGGAUAUGACCAGCCAGAAAACCAAACAACUUUGCUGUCGAAGAUGAUGGACUUGAUUUCGAGCAGAAAGUGAAAAAGUACACUCUACGGCGUAGUCAGUAAAAGCAGCAAACUAGGUUGAAAACAAGGAUGGAAAUCUGAAGCUCUGCUAGACUGAGGUUGUGGACUUGACCGGGGAAAGUGGUAGACAAGCCAGAUAUUUAAAGGGGAGAGCCUGGAGGUGAAAGUACCUUGGAAGGGACAGAACUCCUUGAGACAGUUAUCUGUUGGAUUUUAUCAGUGCUUUUGAAUAAUAUAUACUGGUUAUACUGGACUACAUCAAUCAAGGGUCAUUCUCACCAUGUAACACUUAAGCUUACUUCAGCUAAAAUCAGAAACGUCGCAGCACUACUUGCUCAUUCUGGAUUAAUAUAGAGAAUUUAAUCAAAAAGGCAGAUGAAAUAGUAAAUGAAGUUGUUGUCACCAGGAUACAGGCUGACCUGCCCUUUGCUGAGACAGAAGAAUACUGGACAUUGAACAUCAUCCUGCUCUAUAAAAAAAGCUCCACCAGGCCCUAUACGGAUAUUGCCAAGAGGACAUCCUCCUGAUCACCCUGUGGGCGUUAGAGAGCUAGCCAAUACAGAUUUAAAACAGAGCCAAAUGGCAUUGUGCUUAUAAGGCUAUAUACCUUGAACUAGAAUAACAAUGAGACCCACACAAACCAGGAUAGAUGCUGGGUCACUUUUGGCUGAGAGAACAAAGCAUUAAAGAGUAAAAAAGAGAGAGAGAGAGAGAGAGAGAAAUGCCUUCUUGGAGUCUGUUCUUCAAUGUGGAAAAUAAAAUUUGGCCAGUGCUAAAA